rnacentral:tRNA from 1 species
GCCUCUGUAGCUCAGUUGGUUAGAGCGCUAACACCGAAAUCAGUUGCAGUGCCGCAGGGUCAAUUCCUGCCAGAGACC